GAUUACAGAGUGAAUAUCUUUCUUCGUCAGAAAUGGAAUGAUCCCCGCCUCGCGUACAGUGAAUAUCCUGACGACUCUUUAGACCUCGACCCCUCCAUGUUGGACUCCAUUUGGAAACCUGAUUUGUUCUUUGCCAAUGAAAAGGGUGCCAACUUUCAUGAAGUCACUACAGACAACAAAUUGCUAAGAAUUUUCAAAAAUGGAAAUGUUCUUUAUUCAAUAAGUAUGAGUUCAAAUGAAACAGAUGGUCUCUGGGCUCCUAGUUUUUGUUUGCUGUAUCCUGGCUUGCACAAUCAAAAAAUUCAUUUUUUCUGAGUUGUUUUUGAAAAUCUCACAGGACUUUGAAAUCUUCAAAUGCUUCUUAUCUUCAGUUUCUUUGUUAACAAAAAUUGUGCUAGAAAAAGAAAAAAUCUUGUUGAAUUUACAAAUGGAGCAUCUGUUAUGUUUCAUGAGAGAUCUGGCUUUCCUGCUCUUUUAAAGAAAGAAGAAGCAGGUCCUUGCAAAGACGACUAAUUGAACUUACAUAUUUAUCUGUAUUUCCUCUGAAACCCCAUUAAAAAAAGGAAAUAAACGGAAUAAAGAAUAAA
rnacentral:sRNA from 1 species